AUGGGUAUGGUUAAUUUCUACCCCAAAGUCAAGCUUCUUGCAAAAGCAAUGGUAGUGGAUAACUAUGAUAAUGAACACAUUUUCACCAAGAAGAUUACUACUUCUGUCUUAAUAAAGAUGUCAUAUUAUUGGAUCCCUGAUAACUGGAUUCCUGCAUUAUCAACUCUAACAGGAGCUCUUUUUGUGCUGUGCCUCUAUGCCGUUGCAUGGUGCCUCUUCAAAGAUUCUCCUGUUUGUUCAAGAUUAUUUCCCCACUGCCACAAACAUCACCAGAGCCAACCAAGUCUCACAACCAAAGGACCUGGUGUAGUACCAAGACAUUUUACAAGCAAGCUGCCCUUCCACCUGACCCAGCUUUCUCUUCUCACCACUGUCAUACUUUGGAACUGAACUCAGGUAUCUAUACUGCCACCCUCUCCAAUCCCACACCUGUCCCAAGUUAGAUAUAUCUAUAGAAACCUACACAUGCUUCAUAAUUGCAUUUAUCAUACCAUGUUAAUAUAUGUUAUGCACAUGCAUAUUAUAUGUACAUACAGAUGUGUGUAUAUGUGUUUUCCACCAUACUAUUCCUUUCACAUCUUGUACUAAUAAUUUUUUUUAACCUUGAAGAACACUGCUGUGGAGGUGUUCACACUUUCUCACACAUCCCAGUAUCAUAGAGUCUAAAGAUGGAAUAAGUGACUUGCUGGUUUCCCAUUUCAUCUUCUUCCGAAAUGCCUCUUUCUUCCUUCACAAAUUGCUGCCUUUUGAAGUAUCUAUUAUCAGACUUUAACAGUCAUUAAUUGCUGUUACUGUUAUCCUCAAAAUCAUCAAUGGCUUUAAUUUCUGGCCCACAAGGUUUCUUCCCUACCACUUUUCCUGGCAUGGUUUUGGCACGUUGAACCUCCACAAAAGUGACCAGCCAGUAUCAUGGCUGAUCAGAUCUUUUAACUCCUUUGUUCCUACUCUUUGGUCCUUCUCCCUGUUCCAAACAUCCAUUUCCAUGGUCUCACUCAAGACUUUGUCAUCAUCAGUAAUUGCAACACCUUCAAAAAAUCUAGAUUAGAAAUAGUCCAUUCCCUGAUGAUUACCCAACUUAAUCCAACAUAUUUAUAUGCUUAGUUAAGGCUCCAAGCUGAUGACCCUAUUAGUUUUUCUUUAUCCAUUACUUACUUCUUUCACGUUUCAUGUAUGGUUGGGAUUACAUUGUUUAGCACUAUUACACUCUUUGCAAACACUUAACUCCUUUGUCCCACAGCCUCCUUAAAACUUAGGAAAAAAUAUUAAUUCUGAUGAAAUCCAACUAGGUGCAGUCGACUCUACGACUGCACCUAAGCAGUAGUGUGUUCCUGUUGAAAAUAACACAGUUAUGCACUCUGAACUCAUUUCAGAUUGAUGACUCUGCUCUCAAAUGGUAGCUCACAUUAAUGUGUAUCAAAUUAAUACAGAUACACCUGACUACAGGUCCUAAAUAAACUCACUUUCCCCUUAUAGUAAAAACA
rnacentral:lncRNA from 13 species